GGCCGUGUGGCGAAAUGGCAUCGCGUCUGACUACGAGUCAAAAAUCGCGAUCAGGAGAUUGCAGGUUCGACCCCUGUCUCGGUCA